CUGCCUGCAGCAUCGCAGCAGGUGUCGAUAGAGCUGCACGGGUGUGUGGAUCAGCUCUGUCCCAGCUAAAGGCGCCAUUUCUUCUGCCUUAACAGGAGACUGCUACAGAUAAGAGGAGGAUGACGGUAUCAUCCAGUCUGUAAUCAUCACUGCAAACAAGGACAAGAGUACUUUCCUUCUGGUUUUGGAUGCAAAGACAUUCAAGGAGCUGGGAAGGGCUGUGCUGCCAGUCAACAUCCCAUAUGGCUUCCAUGGAACAUUCUACUGAAUGUUCCAUGGACAUUCAUUAAAAUGUCCAUGGAACAUUAAAGAGGCAGUCUACCUACCUCUUUAAUGGCAGGUAGACUGCCAUUAAAGAAGGCAGUCUACCUGCCUUCUUUAAUGUUCUUGUCUAAUCAUACAUUACAAAUACCUUCACUAAACAUUUAAUGAUAGACUGAAACCCUUCAAGGAUUUCUGUUCAUGUGUUGAAUGCUAAUGUUUUGCUUAUAUGACAAAAAAAAGUUUACGAAUGUUGAUACUAUGAAAGCUUUAAGCACGAUGCACCCUGAUAGUGUGAGAGUGUGUGUAUGCUAUUGUAC